UACGUAGGGAGCAAGCGUUGUCCGGAAUCAUUGGGCGUAAAGCGCGCGUAGGCGGCCCUGUAAGUCCGUUGUGAAAGUCAAAGGCUCAACCUUUGAAAGCCGAUGGAUACUGCAGGGCUAGAGUCCGGAAGAGGCGAGUGGAAUUCCUGGUGUAGCGGUGGAAUGCGCAGAUAUCAGGAGGAACACCAAUAGCGAAGGCAGCUCGCUGGGACGGUACUGACGCUGAGGAGCGAAAGCCAGGGAGCAAACGGG
rnacentral:rRNA from 1 species